rnacentral:rRNA from 1 species
UAAGGAAUUAGGCAAAUUUCCCCCGUACGUUCGCAAUAAGGGGGGCCUCUGGUGGUGAGCUUAAUCGCAAAGCUGCUGGAGGCCGCAGAGAAAUGGCUCUUCCAACUGUUUAACAAAAACACAGGUCUCUGCUAAGUCGAAAGACGAAGUAUAGGGGCUGACGCCUGCCCAGUGCUGGAAGGUUAAGGGGAGAGGUUAGGCGCAAGCCGAAGCUUUGAGCCGAAGCCCCAGUGAACGGCGGCCGUAACCAUAACGGUCCUAAGGUAGCGAAAUUCCUUGUCGGGUAAGAUCCGACCCGCACGAAUGGCGUAAUGAGAGGAGCACUGUCUCAACGAGGGACUCGGCGAACAUUGAAGGACGUGUGAAGAUACACGUGACCCGCAGCGGGACAAAAAGACCCCGUGAAGCUUUACUACAACUUGCCAUUGAGUUAGGGCUAAACCUGUGUAGUAUAGGUGGGAGGCUUUGAAGCUGGGACGCCAGUCUCGGUGGAGCCACCGUUGAAAUACCACCCUGGUUUAUUCUUGGCUCUAACCUGUCGCCGUUAUCCGGCAUGGGAACAGUGGCUGGUGGGUAGUUUGACUGGGGCGGUCGCCUCCGAAAGCGUAACAGAGGCGCCCAAAGGUUCCCUCAGGCUGAAUGGAAACCAGCCGUUGAGUGUAAAGGCACAAGGGAGCUUGACUGCAAGACCAACAAGUCGCGCAGGGACGAAAGUCGGGCUUAGUGAUCCCACGGUUCAGAGUGGAAUGGCCGUGGCUUACCGGAUAAAAGCUACUCCGGGGAUAACAGGGUAGUCUGGUCCAAGAGUUCAUAUCGACGACCAGGUUCGCCACCUCGAUGUCGGCUCAUCACAUCCUGGGGCUGGAUAAGGUCCCAAGGGUUGGGCUGUUCGCCCAUUAAAGUGGUACGUGAGCUGGGUUCAGACCGUCGUGAGACAGGUCGGUCUCUAUCCGCUGUGGGCGUAAGGGAUUUGAGAGAAGCUGCCCCUAGUACGAGAGGACCGGGGUGGACGGACCUCUAGUGUGCCAGUUGUUCUGCCAAGAGCAUUGCUGGGUAGCUACGUCCGGCAGAGAUAACCGCUGAAAGCAUCUAAGUGGGAAACUCGUCUCAAGAUUAGAUCCCUCAUCCGUAUGGAGUAAGACCGCUAGAAGACUACUAGUUUGAUAGGCGGCAGGUGUAAGCGCAGUAAUGUGUUCAGCUUAGCCGUACUAAUGGUCGAGGGCUUACGUUU